rnacentral:rRNA from 1 species
GAUUAACGCUGGCGGCGUGCCUAACACAUGCAAGUCGAGCGGCAGCGAGUUUUCCACUGAAUUCUGGAAGCUUCUAGUUGAAAGAGAAGAUUUAUUCAAGAAUUUUGUGUAAAAUGUCGGCGAGCGGCGGACGGCUGAGUAACGCGUGGGAACGUACCCCAAAGUGAGGGAUAACGCAUCGAAAGGUGUGCUAAUACCGCAUAUGGUCUUCGGAUUAAAGCCUUCGGGCGCUUUGGGAACGGCCUGCGUAAGAUUAGAUAGUUGGUGGGGUAAUGGCCUACCAAGUCGACGAUCUUUAACUGGUUUGAGAGGAUGAUCAGUCAGACUGGAACUGAGACACGGUCCAGACUCCUACGGGAGGCAGCAGUGAGGAAUCUUCCACAAUGGGCGAAAGCCUGAUGGAGCAACGCCGCGUGCAGGAUGAAGGCCUUCGGGUUGUAAACUGCUUUUAUAAGUGAGGAUUAUGACAGUAACUUAUGAAUAAGGAUCGGCUAACUACGUG